GCAGAAUCUUGGAUUUAAAAAAGAAGAAGAAAACACAGUGAACAUGUGGCAUUUUAACUUACCCAGCUCUCCCCAACCCCCACCCGACAGUCUCUUCUGAGCAUCAUGGUCAUCUUGAAAACCAAAAGCCUGCAACCACAGUGAAAAACAGAAGCCUAGCAACUACUGGAUAUGGCAAAACAGAAUUGGAGCUUCUCCAAAUUCUAAUCCCCAGGUAUCUGUUCAAGACCAUGAACAUGCAGAGGGCUGCCCACAGGCCCAGGAAAGACCUGAGAAGGUCCUGUGCUCUUACUUCUGAUUCAUCUUUUGCCUCUUCACAAGCAGCAAGUGAGAACAAAGCCAGAGUUGUAAACCACUUCCCUGAGCAUACCAAGUGUGCCCCUAUACAUAGACACCAGGCAAAGCAUGGAACAUGCUUUGUUCUGAUAUUUAAGGAAAUCUGUUAUCGUUAAGUGACCAAACUAUUCCAGCAGAGACUUCACUGGCUACAUGUGACAACAGAAAAGAAUACAUGUACUACAGACUUCAAAAUGAUAUACAUGUACCCUUGCCACUAUCUCAAAUGUGAAGUGUACCGGCUCAUUGCACUGAUGUGGGGACUGGUCACAUGCCUUGCCUUGUCCAAUGGAAUGAGAAUGGUAGUGGCAUUUUGAUAGGUGCAUGCCUAUUGCUUAUGAAGCUUCCCAUCUUUCCAUUUCUCUUCUAAUUUCUGCCAUUGUUAUAAGAAGUUCUCUAAGGUAGCUGCUGCCCGUUCAGCCUGGGCUCAAGAAACACACAGAGAGCAACCUGAGAACAGCCCUCCAAGCAAGGAGCCACAUAUACAAGACCAGACAUGACAAGAACAACCCCAUCAAGCCCAACCUGGAUCAACCAACACCCAGCCCAUCUGCAGACAGGCA